UAGACCAAAGACCUUCAAUUCACUUCUAUGUUAGGAAUUGUCUUAUUUGUGAAUAUCUUUUCCCAAGCAUGGAUCCUUCACGGACAAAAGCAAGAUAUCGAACGAACAUGGAAGCAUUACUAUAAAUGGAGUAAUGAAGAAGACACACCAUUCUACCCUGUAGCCAACGAGGAAAGAAAAAUCCCUGCAAUUCAAUGUUAUACAGAAAAAUUAGAUCAGCUUUGCCAAAUGCCUUAUGAAAUGAUAUAUUUUGAUAAGAAUUUACAACUCCAAUAUCCAGGACAUAGGAUACAAGUGGUUGGAUAUUAUCCUUACUGGGUUGGACUAAAUGGUUUGACGGAUAUAAGGCUGAAAGGAAAGGAUUUUAAAUCAAAAUGUGGACUGCGUAAUAAUGAUUUCAAAUAUAAUGAGCUAAUUGAUAAUCGGGACAAAGUUAUGCCAGCUCCGUUACCAACCGUUGUGGCAAAUCAACUUGCUGCAGUAGCCCAUUCAGCUACAUUAGCCAUUACACAGUCAACCCACAAUUUUUUUGCCAACAUCUUCGGGUUUCAAACAAUCAGAACAUUAAGUAGUCUCUUCUUUGAUGAAAAAGAAGUAAUAGCAGCAAAUACAUGCUACGAUUACCCUUGUGAAUUUGUGAUUCAUCUGGAUUUACUUGACUCUCCACGUUCACACUUCAAUGGCUACUAUCUUCUUCACUUCACCCAUAAUGUAUAUUAUCCUGGAAAGCCGAUGUAUAAGCAUAUAUUCAAGAACCUUUAUAUUUUUAAAAUAGACGAAAAGUCCUGGGUAAUAUCAUCGGAUCCACAGAGAAAUAAGUUAUUUCCACAAAUCGCAAUCACACUAGAAUCAGAAUGGGGAAUGUACAAUUAUUAUGGACAGUCUGCCAAAGGAUGCUUUUCAAAGCUAAGAAACUUGAAAUGGAUCAUAUGGAAUUCACAAAAGGAUUAUGAACUUCAACCCACAGCCAUUUUAACGGCAGAAACAUAUGAAUGUGGCAUUAUGUACACCGAAUCCAAUAAUAAAGUAGUAACAUCGGGAAUGAAGCCAUGGGUUUUGGAAUUGACCAUCUACAGCGAGGAUCAUAUGAUCCUACAUACUUGUGUUGGAACUCUUGUAUCUGUGAUGCACAUCCUUACUGUUGGAAGUUGCUUUAGCCAAAUCGAUUACUUUGAUCUACCCAAGACACUCAUUAAUCAAUGCAAAAGUAAGGAUUGGAGAGACUGUUUCCGUUGGUUCAGAAAUAAUAACUAUGAAAAUGGAAGUGUCAUAGUUGAAGCUAGACCGUAUAAAAAUAAGUACAAUGUUCAAGUUUUCCCCAUGAAGCUUCAGAUUGAAUGGAUUGAAUAUCAUCCUUUAUAUGAUGGAGUAGAAUAUGAUGUUGUACUUUUGGGGCUUACUUCAACAAUCCAGCUAUCAUCCCUUCUUUAUCCUAUAUGUCUUCCUUCUUUUCUGGAAGAAGAUCUCUAUUACUCCUAUUUAUGGGAGGGAUAUGAGCCGCUUUACUCAUUAAAAAAUAUUGUACGUGAGCAAAAAUGGAAUUCAAGAAUUAUAACAGAUAUAAAUGGACCUAAAAAAUUUGAAGAAUGUGAAACAACCGUCUGCUUUAAAAGCACAAAAAACCUACCUCAUUCUCCGGAAGACAAAAAGUUUCCUCACAACAUUAAAGAUAAAAACGCAAGAGGGAAAUCCGUGUGCAAUCGCUUUUAUAACCUACUGGAAAAACAGGAGCAAGAAGGUUUGGAGGUUAUUUAUGGUCUACCUCGUGGAACUAUGGAAUGUUUUGCUAAAGUAUCCUUUCAAUUCCCAAAAGUUGAAGGAGAUUCGGGAUAUUCCAUUGGUGAUACAAGGGAAGCCAAAGGCGCCAGGUGUUACGAAAGAAGGCAUAGGUGUAUAAAAACUUUUGGUUGGUGUCCCACUGUGGACUACACAAAAGAUAUAAGCUUACUUUAUUCAGAUGCAACAAAUUUUACCACUACAAAACCCUCAUUUACGAACCCCACAAUGGAUGUCAAUAGUACUCAAUCCUCUAUUAAUAAUAACCUCCCGAAGGAUACUAGUAACUUAGAUUACGGAUAUUGUGGUGAGUUUAAUGAUGAAGAUUUAAACCAUGUGAAUGAGAACCAUCCUCUCUAUGAAAUCCCAACUUUUGUGCUUCCAAGGCAGGAAUGUCCAACCCUAAGAUCCAAAACCAACAUUUGCACUGGUCCAUUAGCCACUGAACCUACAGAGUAUGUCUUUGAAGUGUCAUAUGAUGAGAAAAAUAAUUUGAAGUUUACUGUUGUCCAUUACGUAUGGGGUCAUCAAAGACCCAUUGCAAGUACUGAAGAUUUUUUCUCACAACCGAGCGAGACAUUGAGAUCGCAAUUACGUGGCUUUUGUCACGGUCAUGGAGAUCAUGCUUAUGAGAAAGACAUAGGAGCACCCACAUAUUUCAAACGAAGAAAGAGUGUCGGAGAAGCUGGACAAAAUAUUGAACCAGGAAUCUCCAUUGCCGUACUCUAUAGUUUACAAAAAGCCAAUGGAAAAUAUUGUGAGGACUACAGAUAUUACACGGACCAAGAAGUUCUUAUUGCCAGAAAGGAUAUUAUAGAUUUACAUUUUUUUGUAUCCUGACUUCGAUUUUUGAUACUAAAUUUACAAGACCCAAAUUUCUUAUUGGUGAGCAAACGUCCUUUUUACAAACAAAAUGGAUGACUGAAAGUAUUGAACGCCUUCCAGAUUGGAACGUUUACUAUUCCACAAAGGCUAACAGUGUUCCAAUUUAUCAAAGCUUUGAGGAAAAGAGCACAACGUCCUGGACGACGACAUCCUAUCCUCCG
rnacentral:misc_RNA from 1 species